AGUGAACGCUGGCGGUAGGCCUAACACAUGCAAGUCGAACGGCAGCACAGGAGAGCUUGCUCUCUGGGUGGCGAGUGGCGGACGGGUGAGGAAUACAUCGGAAUCUACUCUGUCGUGGGGGAUAACGUAGGGAAACUUACGCUAAUACCGCAUACGACCUACGGGUGAAAGCAGGGGAUCUUCGGACCUUGCGCGAUCGAAUGAGCCGAUGUCGGAUUAGCUAGUUGGCGGGGUAAGGCCCACCAAGGCGACGAUCCGUAGCUGGUCUGAGAGGAUAGUCAGCCACACUGGAACGGAGACACGGUCCAGACUCCUACGGGAGGCAGCAGUGGGGAAUAUUGGACAAUGGGCGCAAGCCUGAUCCAGCCAUACCGCGUGGGUGAAGAAGGCCUUCGGGUUGUAAAGCCCUUUUGUUGGGAAAGAAAUCCAGCUGGCUAAUACCCGGUUGGGAUGACGGUACCCAAAGAAUAAGCACCGGCUAACUUCGUGCCAGCAGCCGCCGUAA
rnacentral:rRNA from 1 species